GAGGUCUCGUUUACAGAACGUACUUCUUUAUAAUUCCAUACCUUAUUCCCAUCUGUAUGGAAUGUAAUGAAGUAUGUAUUGUUAGUCGGGAAAA